rnacentral:rRNA from 1 species
UACGUAGGGAGCAAGCGUUGUCCGGAUUUAUUGGGCGUAAAGAGCGUGUAGGCGGCCAGGUAGGUCCGUUGUGAAAACUCGAGGCUCAACCUCGAGACGCCGAUGGAAACCACCUGGCUAGAGUCCGGAAGAGGAGAGUGGAAUUCCUGGUGUAGCGGUGAAAUGCGCAGAUAUCAGGAAGAACACCCGUGGCUAAGGCGGCUCUCUAGUACGGUACUGACGCUGAGACGCGAAAGCGUGGGGAGCGAACAGG